AUUUGUCUGGUUAAUUCCGAUAACGAACGAGACCUUAACCUGCUAACUAGUUCUCAAUACUCUGUAUUCUGCAACUUCUUAGAGGGACUAUGUAAAUCAAUUACAUGGAAGUUUGAGGCAAUAACAGGUCAGUGAUGCCCUUAUAUGUCCUGGGCUGCACGCGUGCUACACUGAUGCAUACAACAAGUGCCUAGCCAGACAUGGUAUGGCAAUCUCGAAUAUGCAUCGUGAUGGGGAUAGAUCUUUGCAAUUAUAGAUCUUGAACGAGGAAUUCCUAUAAAGUGGCAAGUCAUCAUCUUUGCUUUGACUAUGUCCCUGCCCUUUGUACACACCGCCCGUCGCUCCUACCGAUACCGGGUGAUCCGGUGAACCUUUUGGACUCCGUACGGGGGAAGAUAAGUAAACCAUAUCACCUAGAGGAAGGAGAAGUCGUAACAAGGUUUCCGUAGGUGAACCUGCRGAAGGAUCA
rnacentral:rRNA from 1 species